rnacentral:tRNA from 1 species
GCGGCUGUGGCGGAAUUGGUAGACGCGCAGCGUUGAGGUCGCUGUGAGCAAUUAAACGCUCGUGGAGGUUCGAGUCCUCUCAGCCGCA